rnacentral:rRNA from 1 species
AGGGAUCAUUACAGGACUCGAAAGACUCCCGUAACCCCUGUGAACAUACCUAUAUUCGUUGCCUCGGCGGGUGCUCCGGUUCGUCCGGGGCGCUACGCCCGCCGGUGGCCCAAUACUCUGUCUCGCGCGUUGGCAUCUCCGAGUACAUACAAAUAAGUUAAAACUUUCAACAACGGAUCUCUUGGUUCUGGCAUCGAUGAAGAACGCAGCGAAAUGCGAUAAGUAAUGUGAAUUGCAGAAUUCAGUGAAUCAUCGAAUCUUUGAACGCACAUUGCGCCCGCCGGUAUCCCGGCGGGCAUGCCUGUUCGAGCGUCAUUACAACCCUCAGGCCCUGCCUGGCGUUGGGGCCCUGCGCUGCAGGCCUCUAAAAGACAGCGGCGGGUGCGUCCCACAACCGAACGCAGUAGUUACUUCUCGUUCCGGGUGUAGGCGUACGCUUGCCGUAAAACCCCCAAUUUUACAAGGUUGACCUCGGAUCAGGUAGGAAUACCCGCUGAACUUAAGCAUAUCAAUAAGCGGAGGAAAAGAAACCAACAGGGAUUGCCUCAGUAACGGCGAGUGAAGCGGCAACAGCUCAAAUUUGAAAUCUGGCCCUAGGCCCGAGUUGUAAUUUGCAGAGGAUGCUUCUGGUUAGGUGCCUUCCAAGUCCCCUGGAACGGGGCGCCGAAGAGGGUGAGAGCCCCGUCCGGUUGGCCGCCAAGCCUGUGUGAAGCUCCUUCGACGAGUCGAGUAGUUUGGGAAUGCUGCUCUAAACGGGAGGUAGACCCCUUCUAAAGCUAAAUAUUGGCCGGAGACCGAUAGCGCACAAGUAGAGUGAUCGAAAGAUGAAAAGCACUUUGAAAAGAGGGUUAAAAAGUACGUGAAAUUGUUGAAAGGGAAGCGCUUGUGACCAGACGUGUGCCGGGGUGUUCAGCGGGCGUUCUCGCCCGUGCACUCGCCCCGGUACAGGCCAGCGUCGGUUCGCGUGGGGGGACAAAGGCGUUGGGAACGUAGCUCCUCCGGGAGUGUUAUAGCCCAGCGUGUCAUGCCCCCGCGCGGACCGAGGUACGCGCUCCGCAAGGACGCUGGCGUAAUGGUCUCCAGCGGCC